UCCUUGGUGGCGCAAUCAUCCAGGCCGGU
rnacentral:sRNA from 1 species